GGAGGUUGAGGCCACUGUAAGCCAUGAACAUGCCAUUGCACUCCAGGCUGGGCGACAGACUGAGAACUUGUCCAAAAAUAAAAAUUUAAAAAAUCAUAAGGCUCCUAACCAAGAUCUGACAAAAAGAUAUGGCAAAUCAGAAAUUUCAAAAGACUAAAGGAAAAAUUUUCAUAUUCUUUCAAAAUUAAGAAAUAAUUCACAAAUAAAGAAAAAAUUGAUACAGAAAUAAAAAACAAAGCAUCACUUUCCUUAUCUAAAAAUUAUGAGAAAUAAAUAGGAUCAACCAUAUGGGAUGGUUGUAAGGAUUCAUGAGAAAAUGCCUAUCGAUUGCUUAACUCGGGGUCUGGCAAGGCCCAGAUUGGCAAGUUCUGUAAAAAUAAACAAAGUUGGUAUUUUGACUUCAAUCAAAUCUACAUGUCAAUUGAUGGAGCAUUGCAAUUUUUAUGAAUUUGGAGACUUCUGAUCCAUGGACAUGGAGCCGCUUUGAGCAACUGUGCCCAGCACCUGGGAGGCGAAAGAACCCUGCAGAAGCCAACAAAUCAACAUUCCACCAGAAAUUCUGUGCUGGAUAAUUCAACCAAUUCAGCUGUUAUCCUGGCCACACCCUCGGUCUGGGCUUCCAUCCAAACCUCAUUCUUCUUCACUAUUGAAAACCAGAAGCCACAGCCCCCAGCCCUGUCUUCUAGCUCCCCACCCAGGCCCCGCUCUCUCUCUCUCUCUGAGCCUCUCCACUGUGCCUCGUGAAACCCCAGUUCUAUAAGGAACAAAAUUCCUUUGGUCUACAAAUAUUUCCUUGAGAAUUCCCCCAACAUUAAUUAAAAAAACUUCUGGCCAGGCGCUGUGGCUCACACCUGUAAUCCCAGCGCUUUGGAAGGCCAAGUGGGGAGGAUCAUUUGAGCCCCAAGAGUUCAAGACCAGCCUGGGCAACAUAGUGAGACCUUGUCUCUACAAAAAAUACAAAAAUCAGCCAAGCAUGGUGGUUUAUGCCUGUGAUCCCAGCUACUUGGAAGGCUAAGCGGGGAGAAUCACUUGAGCCUGCAAGGUUAAAAGGCUGCAGUAAGAGGAGAUCGCACCACAGCACUUCAGCCUGGGCAACAGAGUGAGACCCCAUCAGGGAAACUAGAAAUGAACUACUUAGCUUUCUUCCAAAACCUGCAAUUCAUGAGGAAUAAUCAUCCUCUUAAUCAGCAGGGCACCAACAUUUGGAGUGAACACGACCUUCUCCCAUUUGCCUUCCACAUGCCAUCUGUUGCCAGACCUUGACAAUUCUAACUCUAGGGACUUUGUGUAAGGGAAUGGGGCCUAAAUGGGCCCAUGCUCAAUUAUUGAUCAUUCUAAAAUUUUUUUGAGUUUGUAUUAUGAAAAGUUUCAAGCAUACAUUAUAUAGAGACUAGUAAGGCAAAAAUCCCAAGUACCCACCAGGUCUUCUUAACAUUUUACAAUACUGUAUUUGAUUCCAUUUCCUUUCAAAAUUUUUUUUAAAUAAACACAGAAUGGUUGAAUGACUCUCCCCAGGUCUACAUCACAUACUCCACACAGUGUCUGAGACAGAACAUAAAAAGAAUUAUUUGCUCAAUAGUACUUGGCAUAAAUGUAUGAGCCUCCCUGAGUCCCAAUCCCUUCUUUCCCUAUGUCCCUUUCAUCCUGCCUCCUUUUUGUAUUUCUAUCUGCAUUAGUUGCCUCUCUCAACAUUUUUUUCUUUGUACAUCUGUGCUUGUCCAUCUAUUUCCCUUUUAUUAUCUUUCUCUCCAAAAGAUUUCUUCUUUCCUUUAAUAAUAACUACAGCCAUGUGUCGCUUACCCAUGAGGCUAUGUUCAGAGAAACGUGUUGCUAGGCACUGAUGAAAGUUGUGUGGACAUCACCAAGUGUACUCACACAAACCUAGAUGGCAUAGCCCACUACACGUCUGGGAUAUAUGGUAGAGUCUUUUGCUCCUAGGUUACAAACCUGUACAGCAUGUUACUGUAAUGAACACUGUAGGCAGUUGUAACACAAUGGUAUUUGUGCAUCUAAACAUCUGCAAAUGUAGAAGAAAUACAACAAAAAAUAGAUAGUAUAAAUGAUUUAAAAUGGUACGUCUAGGGUACUUACCAUGAAUAAAGCUCGCAGGACUGGAAGUUGCUCCGGGUGAGCCAGUGAGUGAAUGUGAGGGCUGAGGACAUUACUGCACACUGCUGUAGACUUUACGAACACUGUACCCUUAGGCUAUAUUAAUUGUUUUCUUCAAUAAUAAAUUUUAGCUUACUGUAACAUUUUUAACUUUCAGCUUAAUAUUUUUCAAUUCUUGUAACA